GUUCGCUCUCUCCCGUCUGUCUGUCUUUUUUAUAUUCCCCUCACCAACUCGGGGCUCAAUUGGGAGCAAUCAGCUUCUUCUUCGAUUUUUUCCUGUUCGAAUCCCCCAGAAGAUAGAUAUACAUAUGGCUACAUCAAGGUUCCAAGCGUUCUUGAACAGUCCGAUUGGCCCUAAAACCACCCAUUUCUGGGGGCCUAUUGCUAACUGGGGUUUUGUUGCUGCUGGUUUGGUGGAUAUGCAGAAGCCUCCUGAAAUGAUUUCUGGAAACAUGUCUUCAGGUAACAUAUGUAAUAAAGAGAUCCCCCC